rnacentral:rRNA from 1 species
AGAGUUUGAUCAUGGCUCAGGACGAACGCUGGCGGCGCGCUUAACACAUGCAAGUCGAGCGAGAACCAUUCCUUCGGGAAUGGGGACAGCGGCGAACGGGUGAGUAACACGUGGGUAAUCUGCCCUCGAUUCUGGGAUAGCCCGGGGAAACCCGGAUUAAUACCGGAUAGCCUCUCGAGCUUUCGAGCUCUUGAGAAAAGGUAGCUUCGGCCUCCGAUCGAGGAUGAGCCCGCGGCGGAUUAGCUUGUUGGUGGGGUAAUGGCCUACCAAGGCGACGAUCCGUAGCUGGUCUGAGAGGACGAUCAGCCACACUGGGACUGAGACACGGCCCAGACUCCUACGGGAGGCAGCAGUGGGGAAUCUUGCGCAAUGGGCGAAAGCCUGACGCAGCGACGCCGCGUGGGGGAAGAAGGCCUUCGGGUUGUAAACCUCUUUCAGCAGGGACGAAGCCACUCGGGUUAAUAGCCCAGAGGGUGACGGUACCUGCAGAAGAAGCCCCGGCUAACUACGUGCCAGCAGCCGCGGUAAUACGUAGGGGGCAAGCGUUGUCCGGAUUUAUUGGGCGUAAAGAGCGUGUAGGCGGCCAGACAGGUCCGUUGUGAAAACUAGAGGCUUAACCUCUAGACGUCGAUGGAAACCGUCUGGCUAGAGUCCGGAAGAGGAGAAUGGAAUUCCUGGUGUAGCGGUGAAAUGCGCAGAUAUCAGGAAGAACACCCGUGGCUAAGGCGGUUCUCUAGUACGGUACUGACGCUGAGACGCGAAAGCGUGGGGAGCGAACAGGAUUAGAUACCCUAGUAGUCC